CCCAAGCUGCACGCUGUCUGACGCCUCCGCCCGCGACACCAGGUCCCGCUGCCCCUCCAGUCCCAGCACAUGGUCGCGCCAGCCCCGCCCCACGACGUCGUCUGCGUCGAUCUGAAGCCCGCACACGAUGGGAACAAGGUGGGGAUGGAGAUGCGGGUCCUUUUCUUUCGAUCUCCCGUUGAAGAUUUUGAAGCUUUCUGUCCAUGUCGAGGAUUUUUGCCCCAGAGCUUAUGGGACUUUCAAGAUAUAGAGAAAUCAAAUGGUAAAAACAGGAAUGCCCACUACAUCCUGUUCAGAAGGUUGCAUAAAAGUUCCAACUGCGUAAAGAUCUAAUAUCCACCCUCCUUCAUAUUAUUUUCUUCUAUGAUAUAUUCAGUAUUUAAGAAGGGCGAUUGAUACGCUUUGGUGUACAUGAUGGCUUCAGGUUAUGGGGUGGUGCUGGUGCUGGUCGACGAGCUCACUACCGGCCAUGCACGCCUUGAGGUCACGGUCUGAAAGAUCUUUUCCUCCGCUGUUCAGAUUAUUGCUAACAAUGUUGAUAUUAGGAGGCAACAUAAAUUUGCUUCAGUUUGAAAUAUGUUUGCUUUUUCUGUAUAUUUGGUGUAAUAUAGUAUGUGUACAUAACUUGGAGAUACCAACAAUUUAAUUUCACAUCUAUAUAAAAAUGUGAGAUUGUUUUUAAAUAUGAAACAUUUUUUUUUUGAAAAGUCUGGCUUAAAUGAGUCAAAGAUCCAUUUGGAGAUUUCUGUGAAUAUUGCCAUUUGCAGAGAAUUUAUCAGGUGCAGCUUGCUACCGGAGAGCUAUUCCAAAGGAAGCAGUAAAGUUCAGAGAAGGGAAACAUACAUACCUUCAGAUUUGCACAACUGUCUGCAACUGCAUAGAGCGAUUUGUCAGUGAUGAAUGUCCCACCAAUGUUCAGGUGUUGCAGAGAACGAGCCCUUGAAACCUGAAGGACUUUGUGAAGUGCCGUAUAACAAGACCCUGGAUUGGUCUAAAUGGUACAUAUUCUGGUCUGAUUAACGUGCUGUAGCAAAGAACCACGCAGAUAGUAAUAAGUUAACAAAAGAAGGAUUUCUGUCAAAGGUA